rnacentral:rRNA from 1 species
GUAAGGAAUAUUGGACAAUGGUGGCAACACUGAUCCAGCCAUGCCGCGUGCAGGAUGAAGGCGCUACGCGUUGUAAACUGCUUUUGUACGGGAGAAAACCUAUCUACGUGUAGAUAGCUGAUAGUACCGUAAGAAUAAGCAUCGGCUAACUUCGUGCCAGCAGCCGCGGUAAUACGAAGGAUGCAAGCGUUAUCCGGAUUUAUUGGGUUUAAAGGGUGCGUAGGCGGACUUAUAAGUCAGUGGUGAAAUCUCGAUGCUUAACAUCGAACGUGCCAUUGAUACUGUAGGUCUUGAGUACAGAUGCCGUUGGCGGAAUGUGUCAUGUAGCGGUGAAAUGCAUAGAUAUGACACAGAACACCGAUUGCGAAGGCAGCUGACGAAACUGUAACUGACGCUGAGGCACGAAAGCGUGGGGAUCAAACAGGAUUAGAUACCCCUGUAGUCC